rnacentral:rRNA from 1 species
UACGUAGGGGGCGAGCGUUGUCCGGAUUUAUUGGGCGUAAAGAGCGUGUAGGCGGCCAGGUAGGUCUGCUGUGAAAACUCGAGGCUUAACCUCGAGAUGUCGGCGGAAACCAUCUGGCUAGAGUCCGGAAGAGGAGAAUGGAAUUCCCGGUGUAGCGGUGAAAUGCGCAGAUAUCGGGAAGAACACCCGUGGCGAAGGCGGUUCUCUGGGACGGUACUGACGCUGAGACGCGAAAGCGUGGGGAGCGAACAGG